rnacentral:tRNA from 1 species
UUGGGAAGUCGCCUAAUCGGUAUGGCACCGCUCUUUGAAAGCGGACAAAUGUAGGUUCAAACCCUACCUUCCCAGU